UAUAAUAAUUUGCCACAAAAAGAAGAUAUGCACAACUUCUUUCAAAAGAUACAAGUCAAAAACUUCUUGACCAAUUGACAUCCUUGACAGAAAUUCAUUGUAGGAUCUUUCGUUACAGCAUGGAGAUCCAGAGUGUGAUGCUUGUAACAUAAUCUCACAAUCCAUGCAAGUUCGGAGACGAUAUCAACAAAGAAGCAAAAAGUUAGCAAGGACUUUUAGGAGUCAUUUGAAAAGAGUCAGGGCAAAAACAUAUCAACUAUGCUUGCUUUCUUCAAAGCCAUGUUCUACGGAUAGUUUACCGGAAUGUCAAAUCUGAAGGAGAAAAGAAUCCGAAGGCAAAUUAAGUACGCCUACUAACUAUAUCCAAGGAUUAAAUCUCAGAGAUCUUCUCUUUUGCUAAGACAUGAAAGAUGCAGGAUCAGAUGUUUGAAGCA